CCCCGUUUUAAAAGCACUCAGUGAGCCUUUUGCUAGUGACCCACUGAGCCAUCAAGAAGGGGCAGAGUAAGAACAUCGCUUUUGGAUGAAGAAGCGACUUGUGUUGUUCUACUUCAAUCUGUGUGACAAGA
ensembl:snoRNA